UACGGAAGAUGCGAGCGUUAUCCGGAUUUAUUGGGUUUAAAGGGAGCGUAGGCGGGCUUUUAAGUCAGCGGUCAAAUGUCGGUGCCCAACAUCGUCCUUCCGUUGAAACUGGCAGCCUUGAAUGCACGCAGGGAAGGUGGAAUUCGUCGUGUAGCGGUGAAAUGCUUAGAUAUGACGAGGAACUCCGAUCGCGAAGGCAUCCUUCUGGAGUGCGAUUGACGCUGAGGCUCGAAAGCGCGGGUAUC
rnacentral:rRNA from 1 species